rnacentral:lncRNA from 1 species
AAGGAUGAAUCACUUUGUGAGAAGCUUGAUUUGGAUACAUAAAGUGGUGGAGAAUCACCAGGAAUUUGAAUAAAUCUCAUAGGAGUUGGGAUGAAGAAGUUAUUCAACUUUCAAAUCAGGUGAUUCCAGUUUCCCAGUUUGGGAAUAGCACAGCUUCUUCGUCGUUCCAAUCAAACCAGGAUGAAUCACUUUGUGAGAAGCUUUAUUUGGAUACAUAAAGUGGUGGAGAAUCACCAGGAAGU